CCAGGAGAGAAAAAACUUCUUGUGUCUUUAUUUCCAGAGGUAGUUUUACAACUUGAAGCAUGGUGUCUACCGAAGUUAGGCUUGGGCCUUGCUGCAGAAACUGUGAGAUAGGUGUGCUAUCUCCCUUGAUGUUUACAGAUCCAGAUGUCCCUACAUUAUUUGCCUAAAAGACUUCUUUUCACAUAUCUGUCUUUAAUCAUCUGGAAAAUCGUGACAAGUUUUAAUACCCACCAGGUAGAAGAAGCAGCUGGAAGCUUUUCUCCUUAUAUAAAAAAAAAAAAAUCUGCCAUGUACUAAGUGUCUGGAUAAAGAAUAUACUGGAACAUCCUAUUACUGGUAUGGACUUCUUCAGGAUCUGAUGGCUGGGUUCCAAGUGUGAAUAUCACGAGCGUGAGUGUGAGAACAUGCAAGAAUACACAAUCAUGCAAGGGAGAAGCCUUAUGCUGUUUUCCCUUUAAAAUGUAGCCUCAUAACAUGUAACCUAAUGUUCACCACACUCGAUUGUGUGGAAGAAUCACAAACUUACCCAAUUCACAGGGGAGGAAAAGGAGACUCAAUCUAUUGAUGGAGGACUGCCAUUGUUCCAGAAGAGCAAGUAGGACCAUAAAUAUUUCUACAGCCAUUUUGAAAAAUAC